UAUAUUAUUAAGUGAACCUUUACGCACUUCCUUUUUCUACAUCUCAACCAAUGAGAAUUGUUCAGCCAUUUUCAAUAGGAUGUAUAAAGGAUACACACGGUAAUAUAUACUUGUGUGCUAUUAAUACGUUCUUUUGAAAUCCGUGUCCUUGCGUCAGUUCAUGUUCAACAGGUUGUGUGGAGACUAUACAUAGCGUCACGAUUCUUUUCCUAUAAGUACUGCCACCCACCAGUGGAUACACAUAUGCCUUUACGACAUCGAAACAUCACAACCAUUUGGACAAUGACAGCUGCGUGGAGUCUCCUGGUGCUGAUCUUGUGUGUGGGGCUGGUCACAAGCUCUGUGCUGCCUGAUAAUGUGGAACAAGUUGCACAGAGCCAUCAUCGAGAUACACGCAGCCCCGUGGUACCCUGUGGAUUACUGCGCUGGUAUUGUGUUUGGUUACAAAGAUUUCGCCUUACCUGGACACCGUUUUACAAGAACAACUGCUAUUCGAGGUGUCAGGUGGAUAACGACACAAACACCGAGUUCAGCUGUGUUGGGGGCAAAGACUGUGAGCGGUCAACAUUCACACGUAUGUCAUAAUGUUUCGCAGGUCUUGCUCCCUGCAGUGAGACAAAACACCAAAGAAGAAAACAUGAAAUAUAUGAGUUCUUCCCUACCUGCAUCUAUUAAACAGGCGACGUCAAACGGCACUGUCCCCAUACAACUGGCUCCAGAUAUGUUUGUGCAGUUCACUCAAACAUAUAUGUUUUCACUGUGCCUGAAGAUCUUUUGGAACAGUUGGCUCAUACUCUGUGUUUAUACAGCUGGCGCAUGGUCUGUGUUUGUUCUGUUGACUCCAGUUCAGCGUUUGUAGAGAUGGUUCACUAUUUGUGUCUGUACAACUGGCUAUGGAUCUGUGUUUGUAUGGUGUACGUGUCCAAUAACCUUGCACCUGACUAUCUCUCUGAUUUCGUCCCACCUAAAGUAGCAGGAUCUAAUGACUACAGCCUAAGGAAUAGAUCUAAAUUACAGAAUCUACAUUGCAGAACAGCAAGCUAUGCAAAGUCUUAAAGUUUUCUUUCUGAUAUUCUUGAAUUCCUUGCCUACUGCAUAUACUGAUGACAGUACAUUGAAUGAUUUUAAAGGAUGAUAAAAUGUGAUGAAAUGCAUUGCAACAAAUUUGAUUUAAUUAUGGUCCUAGGUUCAACUAAAUUGUGCACUGUCACCUGAGACUUGGCUCCAUUGACCUCUAUGGUGGCAGGUUUCAAAUGUUUAUAUCAGCUAAUCAAAAUUAUUCUUGUGGCUA
rnacentral:lncRNA from 1 species